GAUGAACGCUGGCGGCGUGCCUAAUACAUGCAAGUCGAGCGAACGGACGAGAAGCUUGCUUUUCUGAUGUUAGCGGCGGACGGGUGAGUAACACGUGGAUAACCUACCUAUAGACUGGGAUAACUUCGGGAAACCGGAGCUAAUACCGGAUAAUAUUUUUAACCGCUUGGUUCAAAAGUUAAAGACGGUCUUGCUGUCACUUAUAGAUGGAUCCGCGCUGCAUUAGCUAGUUGGUAAGGUAACGGCUUACCAAGGCAACGAUGCAUAGCCGACCUGAGAGGGUGAUCGGCCACACUGGAACUGAGACACGGUCCAGACUCCUACGGGAGGCAGCAGUAGGGAAUCUUCCGCAAUGGGCGAAAGCCUGACGGAGCAACGCCGCGUGAGUGAUGAAGGUCUUCGGAUCGUAAAACUCUGUUAUUAGGGAAGAACAUAUGUGUAAGUAACUGUGCACAUCUUGACGGUACCUAAUCAGCAAGCCACGGCUAACUACGUG
rnacentral:rRNA from 1 species